CCUACGGGAGGCAGCAGUGAGGAAUAUUGGUCAAUGGACGCAAGUCUGAACCAGCCAUGCCGCGUGCAGGAAGACGGCUCUAUGAGUUGUAAACUGCUUUUGUACGAGGGUAAACGCAGAUACGCGUAUCUGUCUGAAAGUAUCGUACGAAUAAGGAUCGGCUAACUCCGUGCCAGCAGCCGCGGUAAUACGGAGGAUUCAAGCGUUAUCCGGAUUUAUUGGGUUUAAAGGGUGCGUAGGCGGUCGUAUAAGUUAGAGGUGAAAUCCCGAGGCUCAACUUCGGAAUUGCCUCUGAUACUGUUCGGCGAGAGAGUAGUUGCGGUAGGCGGAAUGUAUGGUGUAGCGGUGAAAUGCUUAGAGAUCAGACAGAACACCGAUUGCGAAGGCAGCUUACCAAGCUACUUCUGACGUUGAGGCACGAAAGCGUGGGGAGCAAACAGGAUUAGAUACCCCAGUAGUC
rnacentral:rRNA from 1 species